GCGCAGCAGUCGAGAACCUCCGCAAUGCGGGAAACCGCGACGGGUCAGCCGGAGUGCUCGCGCAUCGCGCGGGCUGUCGGGUGCCUAAAAGCACCCAUAGCAAGGGCCGGGCAAGGCCGGUGGCAGCCGCCGCGGUAAUACCGGCGGCCCGAGUGGCGGCCACUUUUAUUGGGCCUAAAGCGUCCGUAGCCGGGCUGGUAAGUCCUCCGGGAAAUCUGGUCGCUUAACGAUCAGACUUCCGGAGGAUACUGCCAGCCUAGGGACCGGGAGAGGCCGGGGUACUCCCGGGGUAGGGGUGAAAUCCUGUAAUCCCGGGAGGACCACCUGUGGCGAAGGCGCCCGGCUGGAACGGGUCCGACGGUGAGGGACGAAGGCCAGGGGAGCGAACCGGAUUAGAUACCCCCGUAGU
rnacentral:rRNA from 1 species